rnacentral:antisense_RNA from 1 species
GCCUUCGGGUAUGCAGGGUUCAGGAUCGUUCUCAAACUUCACUGAACUCUGCAAACAUUCCCACUUAUUCAGUUUUAGAGAAUCCUUUAUAAGUUUUCCGGCCAAUUUCUCUAACUAUCAGAGAUCAGGGAAUCUUUACAGAUCUAAAAUGAGCUACAAAAAACAGUUAGAGAAAUUGGUCGAAAGUUA